rnacentral:rRNA from 1 species
AUUAAACGCUGGCGGCAUGCCUUACACAUGCAAGUCGAACGGCAGCACGGGGGCAACCCUGGUGGCGAGUGGCGAACGGGUGAGUAAAGCAUCGGAACGUGCCCUGGAGUGGGGGAUAACGUAGCGAAAGUUACGCUAAUACCGCAUAUUCUGUGAGCAGGAAAGCAGGGGAUCGCAAGACCUUGCGCUCUGGGAGCGGCCGAUGUCGGAUUAGCUAGUUGGUGGGGUAAAGGCCUACCAAGGCGACGAUCCGUAGCGGGUCUGAGAGGAUGAUCCGCCACACUGGGACUGAGACACGGCCCAGACUCCUACGGGAGGCAGCAGUGGGGAAUUUUGGACAAUGGGCGAAAGCCUGAUCCAGCCAUGCCGCGUGAGUGAAGAAGGCCUCGGUUGGUUAAA